rnacentral:tRNA from 1 species
GAGCUCAGUUGGUUAGAGCGUGGUGCUGAUAACGCCAGGGUUGCAGGUUCGAUCCCCGCACA